rfam:Oryza sativa Indica Group scaffold001213 genomic scaffold, whole genome shotgun sequence.
CGUUGUCUUCGGACAACCACCAAUGCUCAAUGGGUCUGUGAUGAACGCCUUCGGGUGACCUAGCUGUCAGUCGACAGCCACCAAUGAUCCUGUCACUUGUGAGGAUCGCCUUCGGGUAGUGGCAAAAAACGCUUCCGUAGCUUGAAAGGAAGCACGCCGUUUACGGUGUAGUACAUC